rnacentral:rRNA from 1 species
UACAGAGGGUGCAAGCGUUAUCCGGAUUUACUGGGUUUAAAGGGUGCGUAGGCGGUGGGAUAAGUCAGAGGUGAAAGGUGUUCGCUUAACGAACGAAUUGCCUUUGAUACUGUUUCACUUGAGUCAAGAUGAGGUUGGCGGAAUGUGACAUGUAGCGGUGAAAUGCUUAGAUAUGUCAUAGAACACCGAUUGCGAAGGCAGCUGACUGGACUUCGACUGACGCUGAGGCACGAAAGCGUGGGGAUCAAACAGG